rnacentral:lncRNA from 1 species
UUUUAUUUAUUUAUUCAUGACAGAGAGGCAGAGACAUAGGCAGAGGGAGAAGCCAGCUCCCCGUGGAGAAUCUGAUGUGGGACUUGAUCCCAGCACCCUGGGAUCAUGACCUGAGCCCAAGGCAGAUGCUCAACCACCGAGCGACCCAGGUACCCCUUUACACAUAAUUAAAAGCUACAUUUGGGAUUUCUUAUCUGACAGAAAAUAUACCAUUAGAAAAACUGCAGGAGAGAAAUAAUUUACAUAAGGCAAUGGUGAAAUAUUACAAUGCUCUUUUAGUUAGAAAACCCUGUAGAGGACAUAGUGUUAGUAAAAAUCACCCAUUGCAGAUGGUAGCUGAAUGAAUGGUCACUGAUGAAUCAAAGUUGAUAUACUUCUAACAUGACUCCAUCAUUGAGCUGCUUGACUCCAUUUCAAUAAUGGAACACAUGCAGAAAUGCUUCUACAUGGUCUGCCAAAGGAAAGAUGUACCAAAAAAAGACUCAUACUCAUCAAUGAAUGGCUUCUUUAAUUAAGAAGAAAUGAGGCUGGUAUGUAUACUUCAUAGUAUACUCCUCAUGGGAUGACAGGUUUGACAGAAUUUAAAAAGAGAAGACACCAAGGAAAAAUGCACAGACCUGUCCCUCCUAUGACAUUCAUUGACUGAUUGAGUCACAAGGAUGUCAUUGCAGCAAAACAGCUGAACCAAAAAUCCACAAAAUGUCAUCAAUGUGAUUACUUGAAAGAAAAAUAGGAAUGGAAUCUUAAUGAGGAUAAAAUCUUUUGUGUCCAUAGAGGGUUCUAAGUUAUCUCAUGGCAAAGCCCUUAAGAAUAUUAUUGAACUUGAAAUAGUCAUUAUUCUUUCACAAAUACAAAUGUUCCUAAUAUGCUGGCUUUUUUUUAUGGUUAUAAGGAUUUGACAUACAAUCCAGCAAAUAUUUUCAAAAAAUUAAAUAUGCUUAAUCUGUCCAUUUGAAAUAAAGGUGAGGAGAAAAUUACAUAAAAUGAGUGAGUAAUACAAAGUAAUAACUUCUGAGAGAAAUCCAUGCUACAGAAAAGCAUUUUGAAAAUGAAUGUUUAGAAAUACUAAUUUAUAUGGUUUUUAUUGGCAGAAACAAAUAUAAAAACUAUCUACACAACAUCUAAGAAUCCUAGAAACAAAAUUUUCCAACAUGCCCCCAAUUUUUUCAAAUGAAUUUUAUCAUGCUUUGAAUAUGUUUGUUAGAUAAUGUAAAUGUCACACUUCCCAGUUAAUUUGCCACAACAUCCAUUUGACAUCAAGAAAAUUGGAAAUUUACUAGCCCUUAAGAAACCUUGGGAUGAGGAGUAGAUGGAAUUUAAAAUAUCAGUAUCAUAAUUUAGUAAAUGUAGUAAAAAAAUUCACUUCUACCACUUGACUCUGCAUACUUUGGUGAAGCAUAUUUUCAUUUAUUAUAUUGAAGUAAUAAAAUAUAGCGAGCUCAAAACCAACAUCACAAAUUAUUUUUGACAGUGUCAAACCAAAAUUUCACUAAUUGGAUUUUUUAAAUCUUGUUUCAGCAUUUUUCCUUUUCAAACAUUUAUGUUAAGUAUUUUUAAAUGUUUGUAAUAUGUUAACAUUAAAGCACAUAUAGUAUAUAAAUACAGAUAUUAGUAUUAAAUACUUUUAUUUAAAGUAUGUACAUAUAUGGGAAGCCCAUGCUCAAAAGAUUUUUACUGAUAGGGAUGCAUGAUAUGUAGUCUUGUAUAGAGGACAGCAAAUCAGAAACAGCAAAGAAAACAGGCUACUUUAACCCUUUAUAAAAUCUGUUGGAGAAAACAAUGUUCCCCACAAUACAUGUAACAAACCAAUCCUAAACUGUGCAUUCAUCCUCUCGUGCCAGGCAAACAACAUUGGAAAGCUAGUUACAUAAGCAUCUUCACAAUUAUUCAGCAAUGUCAUCAUCCAUUUGUCUUUGGUUAAAAGUGACAUUGGUGGAAUGGCAUUCCAGAGAUACCUAUUGAGCAGGAACCUAGUGUAGACUCAAGAGUCUGGACUGUCCACAAGCACUGUGAAGUGUUAGGAAGUCAUUCCUCAUUUGGAAGACGAGGAAGGGCAAGCUCUAGAGACUUCCUUGACUUGGCCAAUGGAACAGGUGGCUCACUGAUCAGGACUAGGACCUUCCCAGGCUCGUCUUGUCCCUAGCUGGUGCCCCUUUUGGGUAUGCUCUGCUCAGGAAGUGAAAAUCUGCUGCCCACCCAGUUUGAUAUGAGCAGAUGGGAGAAAAGCAACGGAUCCAAAGUUUCAGCUCAAAUCACUCUUCACUUGCAAAAUAUCCUCUGAGUUUUCUGGUGAGACUAAUGGCCUCAUUGCUUUAUAGAGCUAAAGACAAAAGGUUAUUGUUGGGUUUGUUAGUGUCGCCAUGUUGCUAGGAGAGCGGCUGCAAUGGAAUUUACCACGCAACACUAGCUUUAUUUCCGCAGUACACCCCGGCCAUGUGUAAAGGACGCUGCCUGUGUGCAAGGGGAGUGAGCCGAGGCAUCACAAGGCCAAGACAAAACACCAAGUGAAAGGGCAGAUUUCCUCUGAACCUUGGUUGGAGAACACACCAAGACCAGCACCCUGGCCCCGAGAUCACAAUAGGGCUCCUAUAAUUUUUAAAAAUAAGCAUACAUUGCAAUUUCCAAUGUUAUCCUCUUUUUGCUUUUGUGCUCGCCAAGCCUGCUCAUUUCUCCUUGACAACAGUUCAAACAGCAGUAAGGUGGGCCUGAAAUACAUAUGAACACAUUUCUUUGGAAAUAGGUAGCGACCUGGCCCUAGGUUGGAAUUGCUGGCCUUGGGAACUGUCUCCACUCAUUCA